rnacentral:misc_RNA from 1 species
AAAUGCGUGGGUGGACAGGCUCCCUGCUCGUGCAGCGAACUGUUUUACAUGCGCAUCGUCAAGUCUGCCCCGAUUGCUUAGAUAGCAUCAUUGGGCUKUGUUUGGUUUCUGUGUUGGCUACCACCUAGUUGGAAGAGAGAGUCCCUUAUUGCCUUYGUAUCGUCUUUGCACCCCAUUAGUGGAAUGCUUGAUGAUCCUAGUAAUGCUUCUCAUUUUCCAUUGUCACUCUACCAUAGUGUAGUGUGGCAAUGGGCUAUGGUAAGUAUUCGUAAUCUCGGGUGCGGAACGCAAAAUUGGGUAUUGGGUUGAAUAAACCUUUUGUCCCAAGCAGAGCGUUUACGCUUGGCACGCACGACACCUGCACUCGCGUUGACCUUUCCCAACUUGAUUGAUGGGGGGGCUCAUGUGAUGCAGUUGUCAUAAAGGAAUG